rnacentral:rRNA from 1 species
CAGUCGGACGGUAGCACAGAGGAGCUUGCUCCUCGGGUGACGAGUGGCGGACGGGUGAGUAAUGUCUGGGGAUCUGCCCGAUAGAGGGGGAUAACCACUGGAAACGGUGGCUAAUACCGCAUAACGUCGCAAGACCAAAGAGGGGGACCUUCGGGCCUCUCACUAUCGGAUGAACCCAGAUGGGAUUAGCUAGUAGGCGGGGUAACGGCCCACCUAGGCGACGAUCCCUAGCUGGUCUGAGAGGAUGACCAGCCACACUGGAACUGAGACACGGUCCAGACUCCUACGGGAGGCAGCAGUGGGGAAUAUUGCACAAUGGGCGCAAGCCUGAUGCAGCCAUGCCGCGUGUAUGAAGAAGGCCUUCGGGUUGUAAAGUACUUUCAGCGGGGAGGAAGGCGAUGUGGUUAAUAACCUUGUUGAUUGACGUUACCCGCAGAAGAAGCACCGGCUAACUCCGUGCCAGCAGCCGCGGUAAUAC